GCGGAGGAAAAGAAACUAACAAGGAUUCCCCUAGUAACGGCGAGUGAAGAGGGAAGAGCCCAAGAUUGAAAGUUGGCGUCUUUGGCGUCCGCAUUGUAAUCUCAAGAAGUGUUUUCCGCUUCGGACCAUGCCUAAGUCCCUUGGAAAAGGGCAUCAUAGAGGGUGAUAGUCCCGUACAUGGCAUGGAGCGCCCGAAGCUUUGUGAUACGCUUUCUAAGAGUCGAGUUGUUUGGGAAUGCAGCUCAAAAUGGGUGGUAAAUGCCAUCUAAGGCUAAAUAUUGGGGAGAGACCGAUAGCGAACAAGUACAGUGAUGGAAAGAUGAAAAGAACUUUGAAAAGAGAGUUAAACAGUACGUGAAAUUGCCAAAAGGGAAGGGUAGGAGGUCAGAGAUGCGUCUUGGAAUUCAGCCUUGCUUUUUCGCUUGGUGUUUUUUCCAAGUUUGCAGGCCAACGUCGGUUUUGGGCACUGGAGAAGGGUGGAAGGAACGUGGCACCUCUCGGGGUGUGUUAUAGCCUUCUACUGGAUACAGCGACCGAGACCGAGGACAGCAGCGUACUCGCAAGAGCGGGCCUUCGGGCACCUUUACGCUUAGGGCGUUGGCAUAAUGGCCCUCUACCACCCGUCUUGAAACACGGACCAAGGAGUCU
rnacentral:rRNA from 1 species